GCAGGCUGAUGCUAUUCAUCUGAAGAAGCGUAGGAUCUUCAGCCUCCUCGCCAUCACUCGCCGGUCUAACUGGAUGACAAUAGUACAAAGGGAUGACUUGCAAAGAGUGAAAGCGUGGAAAAAGAUUGUUUAUUACAAGAGUUAAGAUAAAGAACUGGUCUAUUAAGAUACUUUCUCAACAUUAAAGUUGACACUGACAAUAUGGGAUCUUUGUCUUAACUCAUGUAAUAACAAAAUAACCGGGGCAAAUUCCAAUAGAGAGACACAUUGAACAUAUUCACAAAAUUUAUGAAGCUCGAACAGAUGUGUUGGGUUUGUGAAGCUGAAGUACCUACAAGCGAUCGAGUGUCCGAGGAUAUGCGCCGAAUUGUGGGCGCUACUCAGACGCCAGUCUAUAGCGCAUAUGCGCCCACUUUAUGUGGGUGUGCAGUAAAGUUAACGCAUAGGCACCAACUUAGGCGCUCGACCCAGAGGCCUUGGCGCUUGGGCACCAUGACCGGGCACCUAUGCGUCCCGAGCAGUUUUCACACGAUUUUGGUUUUAAGGGUCAAAUUCAAGUGGCGUAAAGUGCUGACUUUCUGUGCGAGUUCUUCGACAAGUUUUUGACGAAUGAAAGAAGUGCUAAAAAAGGGAUUUCUGUGUUCUUGACGUACGUUUUUUGCAUCGGAUUACAGCAUGAAGAGUUUGGAAAGUGGUCUUGUAAAUUUCCUUGAGAGAGGAGAGGAAAUUUGACAAUAUUCUCUGUGUAAACUUUUUGAAUUUCAUAAUGAAAUUUUUUGACGGUAA